rnacentral:rRNA from 1 species
UACGUAGGGCGCAAGCGUUAUCCGGAAUUAUUGGGCGUAAAGAGCUCGUAGGCGGUUUGUCGCGUCUGCCGUGAAAGUCCGGGGCUCAACUCCGGAUCUGCGGUGGGUACGGGCAGACUAGAGUGAUGUAGGGGAGACUGGAAUUCCUGGUGUAGCGGUGAAAUGCGCAGAUAUCUGGAGGAAUACCGGUGGCGAAGGCGGGUCUCUGGGAAGUAACUGACGCUGAGAAGCGAAAGCAUGGGUAGCAAACAGG